UGCGAGCAGAAGAGAGAUCGGAAGCUCGCAUGCUCACUUUAACAUACCCCCGAUUAAGUAUCUGAAUGUACCUUGCGUUAACUCGCACAAAUACAACUUUCAACAACGGAUCUCUUGGCUCUCGCAUCGAUGAAGAACGCAGCGAAAUGCGAUAAGUAAUGUGAAUUGCAGAAUUCAGUGAAUCAUCGAAUCUUUGAACGCACCUUGCGCCCCUUGGCAUUCCGAGGGGCACGCCUGUUCGAGUGUCGUGAACUCCUCCACCCCCUACCUUUUUCGAAGGGUAUUGGGCUGGGAUUUGGGAGCUUGCGGGUCCCUGGUCGAUCCGCUCUCCUUGAAUGCAUUAGCGAAGCCCUUGCGGCCUUGGUGUGAUAGUCAUCUACGCCUCGGCUUAGCGAACCUGUGGGAGUCGCUUCCAACCGUCCCUCUGGGACAAUCACUACCAACUUGACCUCGAAUCAGGCGGGACUACCCGCUGAACUUAAGCAUAUCAAUA
rnacentral:rRNA from 1 species